GGGCUCGCGGCCUAUCAGCUUGUUGGUGAGGUAAUGGCUCACCAAGGCGUCGACGGGUAGCCGGCCUGAGAGGGUGACCGGCCACACUGGGACUGAGACACGGCCCAGACUCCUACGGGAGGCAGCAGUGGGGAAUAUUGCACAAUGGGCGAAAGCCUGAUGCAGCAACGCCGCGUGAGGGAUGACGGCCUUCGGGUUGUAAACCUCUUUUAGCAGGGAAGAAGCGAAAGUGACGGUACCUGCAGAAAAAGCGCCGGCUAACUACGUGCCAGCAGCCGCGGUAAUACGUAGGGCGCAAGCGUUAUCCGGAAUUAUUGGGCGUAAAGAGCUCGUAGGCGGUUUGUCGCGUCUGCUGUGAAAUCCCGAGGCUCAACCUCGGGCCUGCAGUGGGUACGGGCAGACUAGAGUGCGGUAGGGGAGAUUGGAAUUCCUGGUGUAGCGGUGGAAUGCGCAGAUAUCAGGAGGAACACCGAUGGCGAAGGCAGAUCUCUGGGCCGUAACUGACGCUGAGGAGCGAAAGGGUGGGGAGCAAACAGGCUUAGAUACCCUGGUAGUCCACCCCGUAAACGUUGGGAACUAGUUGUGGGGUCCAUUC
rnacentral:rRNA from 1 species